GAUGAACGCUAGCGGCAGGCUUAAUACAUGCAAGUCGUGGGGCAGCAUGAGUAGCAAUACUUGAUGGCGACCGGCAAACGGGUGCGGAACACGUACACAACCUUCCGAUAAGUGGGGAAUAGCCCAGAGAAAUUUGGAUUAAUACCCCGUAACAUAUAGAGUAGGCAUCUUCUUUAUAUUAUAGCUUCGGCGCUUAUUGAUGGGUGUGCGUCUGAUUAGGUAGUUGGCGGGGUAACGGCCCACCAAGCCUACGAUCAGUAGCUGAUGUGAGGUCAUGGUCAGCCACACGGGCACUGACAGAGUGGACCGACUCCUACGGGAGGAAGCUGUAAGGAAUAUUGUACAAUGGGCGAAAGCCUGAUCCAGCCAUGCCGCGUGAAGGAUUAAGGUCCUCUGGAUUGUAAACUUCUUUUAUUUGGGACGAAAAAAGGGAAUUCUUUCCCACUUGACGGUACCAAGUGAAUAAGCACCGGCUAACUCCGUGCCAGCCGCCGCCGUAA
rnacentral:rRNA from 1 species